UCGUAAGUCGUUGCCAGGCAUCAUGCCGGCAGCGGCGAGCUUCGUUCGUCCCAUAGGAUGUGACGAGGUUUCACCCGAAAAAGGAA
rnacentral:ncRNA from 1 species